GUGUUUUCAGAUUGUAAGACCAGGGGGUUUAUUUAGUGGGCAUUCUGAGAUAAAAAAUAUUUAUGUAAAAUACUAUGAUUACCAGUCAGUCAACUUGAACAGCGUAUUUUUAUAUGUUACUGUGUAUGUAUAGUCAUGCUAUAAUUGAGUUCAGGAACAAUUUUGCAUUGUUUUAUUUUAUAGCUCUAAAAUACAAUACUUCACCAGCAACAGAACAUACUAGGCUUACCGAUGUUUGGAAAAAUUCCUGUAAUGUUUUUAGCUACUUAUAUGUUUCAAACUUCAAUUAAAAUUUUCCAUAUUUGCACAAUUUAGUGGUCAUCUCUGUGUACUCGUUUAGAUAUGGCAGCCAUUUUGUGCUAUGCCACAUUUUUACAGCAGCCAUUUUGUAAUAUGCCAUGUUUCCCCCAACGGCAACCAUUUCAUGACUGAUGCCCAAGGCACAUUUUCAGAAUUCUGAAUUUGUCCAUGGACCCAGAAAGGUUAGCAAACCUCUUGCAUAGGCAAUACUAAGCUAGAUGGAUCAAUAGUCAGACUCAGUGUAAGGAACUUUUCCGUGUACCAUGAAUCAGAAGACCCUGCCUCAUGUGCUUAGUACUGCCCUAAACUUCAUGGAUUACAGUGGGGGGAAAUUAGACCUAUGCUUUACUCACAUUUUGAGAGCAAUAGACCUUAUUAGUACUGAACUCUGGCAACAUUAUACCCACAUAUGUACAAUCGCCAGUUUUUAAAGAUUAAAAGUUUUUUGUUUUGUUUUAUAAAAAAACACCUCAAAAGUGAAAAAUAACAUCGAACAACUCUUUAUUAUUAAUGGGGUUCUCACAAAUUUCAUGUAUGAGGGGACUUCAAAGAGGCUGUAGCUCUGCCCCUGUACCAAUGACCAAUGUGCCAGCCAUGCUCCAACAGGACUGCCAAUUCAGUGGCAGUGUGCAGGGGCUCUACAUUCACACUAAUGUGUGGCUCUUUCACAUAUGCAUGUCCCACUUUUCCACACGUGCUUUCAAGACAUGGGUUUUAUGUGCAUCCCUUUAUCUUUGUAGUUUAUGGCACAUCACAUAUAUAUUUCACUCAAAUUCUAAUGAUGCAGGUUAAAACCACCUCCAGCAGCAGAAAACUUCCUAACUAGAGAGUCAAAUCAAGCUAACGACAUAUUGUAUUGCUUCCUUUAUCGAGUCAAAAGGUGCAUUUAUCAUAUUCAGCUGAUAAAAGUGGUGAUAAAUGUACUUUAUAUCCAGAAGAAAGAUUGGUUACCAACAUAGUCAGUAGUAACUUACAAUUUUUCCAUCUUAAAAAGAAUAUUGUUCACUUCAGAAAAGCUCAUUUUUCUCCCUGUUGCAGGAACAAUGCCAAGAAGAAAAAUAGUAAUUUCAUCCAUAACUCAGGGAUGAAGAAACCGUGGGCAGUCAAAUGCUGUUGAACUGCAACUCCCAUCAUGGCUGACUACUACAUGUGGGUUGAUGGGGGUUUGGAGUCCAUCUAGAGGGCCACAAGUUCCCCAUCCCUAUCUUUUCUCCACUGACUUUCUUCCUGAAUAUACCCUAGAUACCUUUGCUUUUGGAAUUCUACAUUCCUCAGGUUCAUGGCUGUAAAACCAUUACCCUACCCCUUUCUCCUGGAAUGCCCUCCUACACCAUCUGUGAUUCUACCUCCAUCCUCCUUUUCCAGGCUGAUCAUUCCCAUGAAGCCCUUGCUUAACCCCAGCUCCUGAAGUCUUUAUCCUCUACCACAAUAAAAUCAAGGCCAUUGUCUCCGCACACAUUCAUAUAUUGUUGCCCUUCAGAUACCUGUCCCUACAAUCUUACUGCAGUAUUAAAAGAUUGUAAGCUCCUGGGCAAUGGUCUGCUUUUUUCUUUUUUAUGUUGCAAACGGCAGUGUGAUGCUUGCUGCUUUGUAGGAGGUGGUAGCGUGGCUACUCCUGGAAGAAAAACCGCGAGAACCAGAUAGUAUUUAUCAACUACCACCCAGUCACAUAUUCCCUUUUGGGGCAAUGUACUGGACAGUAUCAUAGUGAUAUAGUUGCAGGCAUUCUUAAGAGGAAACAGAUUAUCUAGCCUCUUUCUAAUCUUGGUUGAGACUUGGGUUCAGGACUGAGUCUGCCACAGUCACCUCGGUGGAUGGUCUUUAUCAGAAGGGGGCUGCUCCUUCUCAAUCUCUCAUCAGCUUUUGAGUGCAUCAACUAUGGUUUCCAAGAGAUUGUAUCAAAGACACUGUUGUGAAUCGUUUCUGGUUUGGGAUACUUCCAGAUGAUAGCACUGGAUGAGUGUCUCUAGUCCACCCAGUUUUGGAAUGCCACAGGGUAGUAUCAUAUCUCCAAUGUUAUUUAGGAUCUGUAUGAAGCUGCUGGGAACAGUAAUUAGGAGAUCUGGAGUGAUGUGCCAUCGCUAAUCAGGAAUGGCCACGCAGGCCCUGGAUCAGUGCCUGGUUGGAGUGAUGGGCUGGCUGAGGACUAAUAAACUGUGUCUGGCACAGAUGGCAACUCUGUGGAUGAGUGACUUCCAGGUCUGGUUGCUUCUCCUCUAUGAAGUUACUCUCUUCCAGAAGGAGCAGGUGCAUAGUCUGCAAGUGCUCCUAGAUCCAGCUCUAGGAGGUGCUUGCUGUACAAAAGUCCUCAGUAGCUAGGACUGCCUUUUACCAGCUUCAACUGGUAUGGCAGCUACAGCCAUUUCUGGACGAGUAUAGCUUGAUCACAGUUGUCUAUGCCUAAGUAACCACAAGGUUAGGUUACUGGAAUUUGUUCUGUGAGGGGCAACCCUUGAGGUCGGUCCAGAAACUACAGCUAGAGCAGAACACAGCAGCUAGGUUGUUUGUGAGGGCAAACUACUCCCAGCAUGUAACAUCUUUUUUAAUGGAAUUUGCACUGGCUGGGAAUCUACUAUCAGGCCAAGUUUAAUUUUUUGGUAACAACAUGAAAGACCCUACACAGGACCAGGUUACUUGAGAGACCACUCUAUCCGUUGUAUACCCAGGUCAUAACAUUCUGCAGGAGUUUCUCCUUUUAAGUCCUUAAAAUAUCAGCCCAUUCCACAGUAACUUGGGGCAGGGCUUCAGUGUGGCUGCUCUUGUUCUGUAGAACAUCCCUGUUAAGAUACGACAGAUAAGACAUGGAACAGCGAAUAUGUUUUUGUUUCAACAUGUUUUUUUCAGAUGAAAGGGUCUCGGCCUUAUUUUGUAUUGUUUUUAAACCCAUCUUCAGGGUUUUUUUUGGUACUGUUUUAAAACUAAUUUAUGUGUUUAUUUGAUGUGAAAUAACUACAACAACAACAACAACUUAUUCCUAGAUACCAGAAAUCCCAAGUGGGAAUAGCAGUGUUGCACUCAGAUUCUGCUUGCAGACUUCCAUUAACAACUGAUUGGACACAGUAAGAAGACGAUGCUGGCCUGGAUGGCCCUUUGGUCUGAUCUAGCAGGACUCUUCUUAGGUACUUAUCAUGUAUUUCUUUUGAAGAAAAGCAACUACUGUUUUGCUGUAUCAUCUCCAGUCUCCUUCACUUCCACACACAUUUAUUCUCUAUCAAUUUGCUUCAACUUCUCAUCAUUGACUUUUUAAUAUCGUCCCUCCCCUCCCUUGCUUUUCAAUUUAAAGCUUCUUUGAGAUGCUUUUUUCUCCUUCAGUUAGCAACCAGAUUCCUUUAUAUUAACCCACUGAACAUGUGGUUUACAGGUGUGAUAUGGAGUUAUUCUCUUUUAGGUUCACCUAGCUAGCUUCUUUCCAAUCUGGCCUCCAUCCCCUAUAUUUCACUGAAUUAUCUUAAAUCAACAUUUAAAAUAAGGUGAGAAUCAGGGCUCCCCUGCUCACUAGAAUUGAUAUAUGAAAUGCCUAUUAUCUGAACAGUCAGAAAGAGGUAACAACUUCUGCUGACUUUUCCUUUUGAGCAUUUAGUAAACUAUAGUAAUGCUGGUGACCUACCUGCUAUAAAUGCUGUUAACAGUAUAAAUAAUAUUAAUGUUAUUUUGUUCAAAAUGUCUUAGAUAUGGCAGCCCCCUUUAUGUCACUUUUAUUUCUGGCAGUGCAGAGCUAGAAACAUAUCAAGAGUACAAUUCAGUCAACUGAAGUCCCUCCCCCAAGUUUUGUUUAUUUCUAUGAGAGAUAUGUAUACUCCAAUCCUGCGCAGUUAUUUGUGCCUAAGACUAUUGAAACAAUGGUACAUAGAAUCAGGCAGCCAAGCACAUAUUUGCAGUUGAAAUCAUGGUAUUAAAAACCAUGCUCAUAAGGAGGUUUCACGUUCAUGGUUUUAAUCAUAUGGCAAGGUCUGGGCCUUGACCAAUGAGUUUUAAUAUGUAAAAGGGCACACAGUCAUUACAUCUAGAUAGAUUCUGACUUGACCUUAGGAACCCAUCAAUCCCUGUUUAAUAAGCGGUGAAAAUUAGUAUCAUCGCUUGCUAAAAUAUGAGGCAUUUCACACAAAGCACAGAGAGUACCCCUGAACAAGGAAGUGCAGCCACUAACUGCUCCCUGACUAAUGUACCUUUAUAUGACACAUGCAUUUGUCAUCCUUUAAAUUUGUAGGAAUACAUCUAAAAAGGCAAUACGUGAAAUGUUCCUGUGAGAGUUGUCUGGUUCUCUUGGUGGUGGGUGGUGAGAGGAUAACAACCUGAUCUUAUGGGAGGAGUGAUACCUGUCUCCUUUUAUCGACAUCUGUCUGACACAUCAUUGUGUGGGCCCCUGAGUACCACUCGACAGCACUGCACAUGCCAAUCCUAGUAUGUGGUAUAUAGUGCAGUCCAAGCACGCAGGAAAGGCACUGUGGCACCUUAAAAGACCGGCCGUGGGUUAGCUGGUGUGUACGCCCAUAAAAUGCACUAAAUCUUCAAGGUGGCAACCCUAUCCAUAUUUACGGGGGGGGGGGGGGAGCAAGCCUCAGCGAGCAAAAUGGGGGCUUCCUCUCGUGUAAAUGCGCGCAGGGUUGUGUCGCAAGGUGCCAGAAGCUUCCUGCCUGUGUCCGGGGUGAACACCUCGUCCGCCUGGCUGUGGCUGCGUGUCCCCC
rnacentral:lncRNA from 1 species